ACUUAUUUUCUUGAAGGCCUCAAAUAUUGAUGAGCAUGAGGCCUGUCACUACGGAUUAGGAGCAUGCUCAUGUUGGUGGUUAUUAUUUGAUGAAAUCUUGCCUGUUACCUGACAUUACUUUGAUAACUGUGGAAUCUUUGGACCUUUCCAGAGGAUUUGACCGUGAUUGUUCCUUUUCUCUUUUUAAUGAAUAACAAAUUUUAUUACAAAGAAUCAGAAUAAUGUACAGUACAAAGCACAUCAAAGAAAGUCACCUAAACCAGGUAAAAUACAAAAAGAAAUGCUAUUGGAAAUUUAAGGAAUACAAGAGAUCUACAGCACGAUGGCAAGCACACUACAAAUCCUGGUUUCACAACUUCUUGCCUUUCCAAUUGGCUGCCAAGUCAUUAGUUGAUUGGCUCUUAAAUGAAGCUCCGGUCUAGUAGAAUCUCCUUCCCCAUUGGCCCCGAGUUUGUCCUACUACCACUGUGCCAUCAUGUGCUCUGAUGAAACAUCCAAUCCUACAAGGCUCUUGGUCCCCUGCUAAAACCCAUAGAAAUUUUGCUUUGCAAACCCUAUUGAA